GAUGAAGAACGUAGUGAAAUGGGAUAAGUAAUGUGAAUUGCAGAAUUCAGUGAAUCAUCGAAUCUUUGAACGCACAUUGCGCCCGCCAGUAUUCUGGCGGGCAUGCCUGUUCGAGCGUCAUUACAACCCUCAGGCCCCCGGGCCUGGCGUUGGGGAUCGGCGGAAGCCCCCUGCGGGCACAACGCCGUCCCCCAAAUACAGUGGCGGUCCCGCCGCAGCUUCCAUUGCGUAGUAGCUAACACCUCGCAACUGGAGAGCGGCGCGGCCACGCCGUAAAACACCCAACUUCUGAAUGUUGACCUCGAAUCAGGUAGGAAUACCCGCUGAACUUAAGCAUAUCAAUAAGCGGAGGA
rnacentral:misc_RNA from 1 species